UACAGAGGUCUCAAGCGUUGUUCGGAUUUACUGGGCGUAAAGGGCGCGUAGGCGGCCUCCGCAAGUCAGUUGUGAAAUCUCCGAGCUUAACUCGGAAAGGUCAACUGAUACUGCGGGGCUAGAGUGCGGAAGGGGCAACUGGAAUUCUUGGUGUAGCGGUGAAAUGCGUAGAUAUCAAGAGGAACACCUGCGGCGAAGGCGGGUUGCUGGGCCGACACUGACGCUGAGGCGCGAAAGCUAGGGGAGCGAACGGG
rnacentral:rRNA from 1 species